GGAGGUGUAACUCAGCAGUUGGAGUACUUACCUAGCACGCAUGAAGCCCUGGGUUCAAUCCCCAGCACCGCAC
rnacentral:tRNA from 1 species